CCUACGGGCGGCAGCAGUGAGGAAUAUUGGUCAAUGGGCGAGCCUGAACCAGCCAAGUAGCGUGAAGGAUGACUGCCCUACGGGUUGUAAACUUCUUUUAUAAAGGAAUAAAGUGAGGCACGUGUGCCUUUUUGUAUGUACUUUAUGAAUAAGGAUCGGCUAACUCCGUGCCAGCAGCCGCGGUAAUACGGAGGAUCCGAGCGUUAUCCGGAUUUAUUGGGUUUAAAGGGGGCGUAGAUGGGUUGUUAAGUCAGUUGUGAAAGUUUGCGGCUCAACCGUAAAAUUGCAAUUGAUACUGGCAGCCUUGAGUACAGUUGAGGUAGGCGGAAUUCGUGGUGUAGCGGUGAAAUGCUUAGAUAUCACGAAGAACUCCGAUUGCGAAGGCGACUAUCUGGCACAUAACUGACGCUGAGGAGCGAAAGCGUGGGUAGCAAACAGGAUUAGAUACCCCAGUAGUC
rnacentral:rRNA from 1 species